UCCAGAGGGUGCAAGCGUUAAUCGGACUUACUGGGCGUAAAGCGUGCGUAGACGGUUGCGUAAGUCAGAUGUGAAAGCCCCGGGCUCAACCUGGGAAUUGCAUUUGAGACUGCGUAGCUAGGGUGCGGAAGAGGGAAGCGGAAUUUCCGGUGUAGCGGUGAAAUGCGUAGAUAUCGGAAGGAACACCAGUGGCGAAAGCGGCUUCCUGGUCCAGCACCGACGUUCAGGCACGAAAGCGUGGGGAGCAAACAGG
rnacentral:rRNA from 1 species